rnacentral:rRNA from 1 species
AGGACGAACGCUGGCGGCGUGCUUAACACAUGCAAGUCGAGCGGAAAGGCCCUUCGGGGUACUCGAGCGGCGAACGGGUGAGUAACACGUGAGCAACCUGCCCUUAGCUUCGGGAUAGCUCCGGGAAACCGGAAUUAAUACCGAAUAUGACUUUGGCUGACAUCAGCAGAAGUGGAAAGUUUUUCGGCUAGGGAUGGACUCGCGGCCUAUCAGCUAGUUGGUGAGGUAACGGCCCACCAAGGCGACGACGGGUAGCCGGCCUGAGAGGGCGACCGGCCACACUGGGACUGAGACACGGCCCAGACUCCUACGGGAGGCAGCAGUGGGGAAUAUUGCGCAAUGGGCGAAAGCCUGACGCAGCGACGCCGCGUGGGGGAUGAAUGCCUUCGGGUUGUAAACCCUUUCAGCAGGGACGAAGCGAAAGUGACGGUACCUGCAGAAGAAGCGCGGCUAACUACGCGCCAGCAGCCGC